GCACAAAGUGCCAGGAAAGAAUUAUUCAAGCCCUUCCCAGAAGGUAUCCUUCUGGCAAGGGUACUGUACUAAACUAACUAAAGUGGGGGAUAGUGAGGGGAUAAAUUUUCUUAAGGAACUCGGCAAAAUCCCAAUGGCCCACCAGGGCAUAUUGGAACACGGGCCUCGACUGUUUACCAAAAACAUAGCCCUCGGCUAAUAUGAAAAUAGAUGUAUAGAGGGUGAUGCCUGCCCAAUGGUUGUAUCUAAAAGCGGUUGAUAAAAGUUGACCUCGUAAGGACAAUUGAAUGGCCGCGGUAACACUGACCGUGAUAAUGUAGCGUAAUCAAUAGCCAAUUAAUUGUUGGCCAGUAUGAAUGGCGCCACGAAGGCCCCACUGUCUUAAGGAAAUUCCCAGUGAAAUUGAAUUCGUAGUGAAGAUGCUACGUCCAAUUUGUUAGACGAAAAGACCCCGUUGAGCUUUACUGGAGCACUUACAUGGCCCCGGCCUUCCCAUGCCUGGGAACCGGCCGAAUUUAAAUGGGCGGCUUAGAUUAUGUGGCAGCCCCCCGCUGGGGCAAAUGAAACACCACUCCCCCAUGUCAAAGGGGCUAACCCCCCCCCUUGGGGGGACAGUGUAAGUAGGACAGUUUGGUUGGGGCGACCACCUUUUAAAAAGUAACGAAGGUGCGCUUAAGGUGCGCAAUUAAUGACUGAAGCCUGACUGCGAGGGGGACACCCCGAGCAGACACCCCAAAGCCCGCCCGAAAGGCGGCGGUGGGGUGGGCCAUAGUGACCCGUUAAUUUAGAGUGGAAUAGUUAACGAUCAACGAAUAAAAGUUACCACGGGGAUAACAGCGUAAUAUCGUUAGAGAGUUCACAUCGACGACGAUGUUUGCGACCUCGAUGUUGAAUUGCGGCAUCCUGGGGUGCAG
rnacentral:rRNA from 1 species